rnacentral:lncRNA from 1 species
CCACACCACCAACAACAACUCAAGCCACAGCAGACUCACCAGUAAUCCAACCGACGGAUCAGUGAACUCAUGUAUGUGCAAGUGGAGCUCAACGGUCAUGUGACUCAGGCGAUGGUGGACACGGGGGCAACCCACAACUUCGUUGCCGAUCGUGAAGCUACCCAUCUUGGGUUGAAGCUGGAGAGGGACUCCAGUCGAAUGAAGGCGAUGAACUCGGAAG